rnacentral:rRNA from 1 species
CCUACGGGAGGCAGCAGUGGGGGAUAUUGCACAAUGGGGGGAACCCUGAUGCAGCGACGCCGCGUGGGUGAAGAAGCGCCUCGGCGCGUAAAGCCCUGUCAGCAGGGAAGAAAAUGACGGUACCUGAAGAAGAAGCCCCGGCUAACUACGUGCCAGCAGCCGCGGUAAUACGUAGGGGGCAAGCGUUAUCCGGAUUUACUGGGUGGAAAGGGGGCGCAGACGGCGAUGCAAGCCAGGAGUGAAAGCCCGGGGCCCAACCCCGGGACUGCUCUUGGAACUGCGUGGCUGGAGUGCAGGAGGGGCAGGCGGAAUUCCUGGUGUAGCGGUGAAAUGCGUAGAUAGCAGGAGGAACACCGGUGGCGAAGGCGGCCUGCUGGACUGCAACUGACGUUGAGGCCCGAAAGCGUGGGGAGCAAACAGGAUUAGAUACCCUAGUAGUC